rnacentral:rRNA from 1 species
UACGUAGGGGGCAAGCGUUGUCCGGAAUCAUUGGGCGUAAAGAGCGUGUAGGCGGCUUGGUAAGUCCGCUGUGAAAGUCCAGGGCUCAACCCUGGAAUGCCGGUGGAAACUGUCAAGCUUGAGUCCGGAAGAGGCGAGUGGAAUCCUGGUGUAGCGGUGAAAUGCGCAGGAUAUCAGGAGAAACACCAUGGCGAAGGCAGCUCGCUGGGACGGUACUGACGCUGAGACGCGAAAGCGUGGGGAGCAAACAGG